rnacentral:rRNA from 1 species
UCAGAGGUGAAAUUCUUGGAUUGACUGAAGACUAACUACUGCGAAAGCAUUUGCCAAGGACGUUUUCAUUAAUCAAGAACGAAAGUUAGGGGAUCGAAGAUGAUCAGAUACCGUCGUAGUCUUAACCAUAAACUAUGCCGACUAGGGAUCGGGUGGUGCUACUUUGCCCACUCGGCACCUUACGAGAAAUCAAAGUUUUUGGGUUCUGGGGGGAGUAUGGUCGCAAGGCUGAAACUUAAAGGAAUUGACGGAAGGGCACCACCAGGAGUGGAGCCUGCGGCUUAAUUUGACUCAACACGGGGAAACUCACCAGGUCCAGACGUAAUAAGGAUUGACAAGUUAGAGACUUCUCUUGAUCUUACGGGUGGUGGUGCAUGGCCGUUUUUAGUCCUUGGAGUGAUUUGUCUGCUUAAUUGCGAUAACGGACGAGACCUUAACCUGCUAAAUAGGGCUGCGAGCAUCUGCUCGGGUGCUCUUCUUAGAGGGACUAUGGGUAUCAAACCCAUGGAAGUUUGAGGCAACAACAGGUCUG